rnacentral:rRNA from 1 species
AUUGAACGCUGGCGGCAGGCCUAACACAUGCAAGUCGAACGGUAACAGGAAACAGCUUGCUGUUUCGCUGACGAGUGGCGGACGGGUGAGUAAUGUCUGGGAAACUGCCUGUUGGAGGGGGAUAACUACUGGAAACGGUAGCUAAUACCGCAUAACGUCGCAAGACCAAAGAGGGGGACCUUCGGGCCUCUUGCCAUCGGAUGUGCCCAGGUGGGAUUAGCAAGUAGGUGGGGUAACGGCUCACCUAGGCGACGAUCCCUAGCUGGUCUGAGAGGAUGACAAGCCACACUGGAACUGGGACACGGUCCAGACUCCUACGGGAGGCAGCAGUGGGGAAUAUUGCACAAUGGGCGCAAGCCUGAUGCAGCCAUGCCGCGUGUAUGAAGAAGGCCUUCGGGUUGUAAAGUACUUUCAGCGGGGAGGAAGGGAGUAAAGUUAAUACCUUUGCUCAUUGACGUUACCCGCAGAAGAAGCACCGGCUAACUCCGUGCCAGCCGCCGCCGUAA